UACGUAGGGGGCAAGCGUUGUCCGGAAUUAUUGGGCGUAAAGCGCGUGUAGGCGGUUUCGUAAGUCUGCUGUGAAAGUCGGAGGCUCAACCUUCGAAAGCCGGUGGAUACUGUGAGACUUGAGUACGGAAGAGGAGAGUGGAAUUCCUGGUGUAGCGGUGAAAUGCGCAGAUAUCAGGAGGAACACCAACGGCGAAGGCAGCUCUCUGGGACGUUACUGACGCUGAGACGCGAAAGCGUGGGGAGCAAACAGG
rnacentral:rRNA from 1 species